CGCCGUCGCCGAAGUCGCCGCGGCCGCAUCCAAGCUCCGCGGCCCCGACCAGCGCCGCUGGUUCGCCCGCCAGAUCAUGCUCCCGGAGUGGAUGGUCGACGCCCCUCCCCACCUCGCCCGCGACUGGUUGUUCUUGCACUCAGCGACAGCUAGAGUCGCUUUGAUGAGAAGUUGAGGGCGCAGGUACAAGGCAGCAGUAGUAGCAGCUUAGCCUCCAUCAGUGGCGGCAGCAGUACAACACCCUCCUAAUGUUGUAGCAAGUCACGGUGGCGGCGGCGGCCCAUGUCCCAGUGUUUGUUGAGUGCAAAGGACAGCGAUUACAUUGGUACUCAAGAACGCAGAGGAAAACGGCCACCCCACCACCCAAAGUGGCCGGAAGGAACGAGUUCCCCUUCAUCCUCGGCGGCAAAGAGGGUGUUGGCUUGGUGCUAGAGGCUCAUGAACCGGCAAUGUUUUGCGGAUGGUCUGAGACGUGAAAUUUGGUUGGAAGUGGCCUGUUGUGGAUAUGCUCGAUGGAGCAGAUCGUGCUUUUUUAGACAGCAUUGCUGUUACUUCCGUGGGGCUAUUUGCACUGCAUACAGAUGAUUCUACAGUCUGUUAGUUCUUAUCGAGUUAUUGUCCUCCUGGUUUGUCUGAUGUCUCUGCAAGUUUUUUCUUUCUGAAAUUGGUGCUUUCUUAUCUCCAUAAUGCACAUAGGGAGCAGGUAUGUGAACCACGCUUAAAAAAGUUUGGCAUCGUACGAGCUGAUGCACAUGUAUUUGCCAGGCCUUCUACAUGAAGGAAGCUAUACGGCCAAGCUUCUUCUUGAAUAAUUGCUCACAUGUGUGUUUUUCACCACCACAAUGAAAAGUAUUACACUCAGCAGCAGCAGGAGGAAAAGAUAAUUGCUCCAGCCUCUGGACAGUGAUUAGAAUUAGGAAGCUGAAUGUUCCUAUGAUCCCUGCGAGGAUUUUCAUAAUUUAGUUUAUACUUAAAUAGAAAUAACAUCGAGAAAAAACAUGCUGAAUGUUCCUUAUUGCAGGUCAUCGAUAGAUCACUCUAUGCAUUUCAGAGACCGCUGGAUUUAGGUUAAUAACACCAAUUAAGUAAUUCACUAUAUUAUCUUGAGUAACUACAUGACUUUAUAUAUUCAUAUCAUUUUUUGUUUGAAAACUUUUUGAACAGCGCUAUUUGAAUUCCAAGUUUAGUUUGUAGCUUGCUGUUCCUCUUUCGUCUUUGCAGGCGGCCGGUUGACCCUCCUCAUGUUUUAUGUCUCUGUUUUACCCAGUUUAUUGGUUCAUUAUGCUAUAGCCUCAUAGGUUUAAUUUAAGCUUGCCAUUGCUCAACUCUAAUCUCACAUAAAAAACCUUAAAUCCUUUUAAGACUGCAGCAUAUAGCUUCAGAGUUUACAGGGAUCUUAAUAGACAUAUUUGGUGGACUGAGGUAGAACCGUACAAGCAGCGUCCUUAUAGUUGUUAGACAUGUAUACAUGUAUGUCCUUCUACAUCUACUUUUGGCAUUACAUUUUCUCACUCGAUAUACUGAAAGGGAGUCUAAAAAAUAUUAGCCAACAGCUACCAAACAACCGUUUCAACAAAAUAGGAACCCAAUUGCCAAGUGUUGAUUUCAUUUCUAUGCAUAUAAAGACUGUUUUAGACAAAUACUUGAUUAACCAGGUUCCGAGGAAGGGCUGCUUAGGUACCAUGUAUUUCUAUCCACUCGGAGUGUUGCAAAGUAGAGUCAUCCUCUAUACAACAUUUAGGUUGAACUCAAGAUGACGUAAAUUCAACUUUUCAAUUGUAAAUUCAUUAAUGCUUUUUCCGAAUAAGUGUAGCCUAACAAUUGUUGUCUUCUAAAAUAAAUUGCAGAUUGUUCAUUCCAUCAGUAUACAAAACCAACUUACUCAAGUUAGCUUCAUGCCCAUGCCCAUGCAACUGCAAAUCUGUUUUAUGUUUUUGUGAAAUUAUAGUAGUAACAACAGUUACCUUCCUGAGUUUUUUUUUCCUCGUCGAGUUUAUAAAUUGAACUUCUGCAUCUUCUCUAGAUCAUAAUUAUUCGGAACAAAAAUCUGGUCCAAGAGGGGAGUCAAGAGAGCGUUGAUUACCUGAGAUCAGCCAAUAUCGCCGGAGCCAAGAAUAUUGCCACCAGUAAUUGAUUGUUAAACACAUGGUCCAUUCGUCUCCUUUGGUAAAUGAGAUGCGCGCUGGUGCCUGUUCAUGCUUUGAGACGACGAGUGCGAGGGCGUCGAUGCACGCAGCAUGGGCGCUGAUGUGGGCUAACACGGCAGAGGCAAGGUACAAGAGCUUUCCGGCGAAUCUAGGACCACGAGCAGGUAGUGCACGAGAGUGGAGGCUAUUUGACAAAUAUCGGCACAGGAACUCUGCCCUUGCUACUGCCGUCACCGUGUCCAUCUCUACAGAGGAUCAACUAGUGAAGGCAACUAGCUAGUUCAGAUUAUCAAGUAACUUGUUCUAGUGGAAUGUUCUACAGUGUUCUAAAUUAUCAAGUAGUUUGGAUUAUCACCUAGUUUGGCUUUAAAGUUUUGUGUGAUGGUUUGUAGGAAUUUAAGUGUUUGAAUUAUCUGUUUUUAUUACCAGAUGUUUAUGCA